ACCAUAGCAACGCCGGUAAACAAACCCCGAGUAGCCCAAUCCCUAUGAGAGCUCCCCGAGCUACGGCCAUCCGGAGGCGCACAGAGCUGUUGGCCGUGAUAUUAUAUAUACAAAUAUUAUAUUAUCUACUAUUAUAUUAUAUAUAGAGCUCCGGGAGUCGCAAGCGGCAACAUUCACUUUCUCCUCCAUGCUGCAGUUGACCCCGGACUGCACUGCACUGAGUUUGACGGUUGAACGCUGAUUGGCUGUUACGUUACACAUGUGUCUCAGUGGCCACGCUGUUGAACGCUGAUUGGCUGUCAGCACGCGAAAUUCGUGUCAAAGUUCAAAUAUUUCAACUCGAGCGAAUUUGUCGCGCCACAAGUCCUCGUGAACGCGCUCGCCUGUGCACGGCGAAAGUGUGGCGCGACAAAUCAAAACUUGUCGCCGGUUUCCUCUCGCGAAAAAUUUGCCCGAUACGCGUCUAUACGUUCACUUUGUAUGGGAUCCUGUCGCCCCGUCGCGUUUGGUGUGAACACACAGUAAGUCGGUCGCGACCGAUUCGUUCACAACGAACGAAUCCCGAACGUGAACGACAAGAACUGGUUCCCCAAAACAAGAAGAACUGGUUCUUUGAUUCUUUU